rnacentral:rRNA from 1 species
UACGAAGGGGGCGAGCGUUGUUCGGAUUUACUGGGCGUAAAGGGCGCGCAGGCGGCUCAUUUUGUCAGAUGUGAAAGCCCCGGGCUCAACCUGGGAAUUGCAUUUGAGACUGCGUAGCUAGGGUGCGGAAGAGGGAAGCGGAAUUUCCGGUGUAGCGGUGAAAUGCGUAGAUAUCGGAAGGAACACCAGUGGCGAAAGCGGCUUCCUGGUCCAGCACCGACGUUCAGGCACGAAAGCGUGGGGAGCAAA